UCGAUCGAAUUUCUAGUCGCAAUUCUCUGUCUGUCCCUCGGCUCUGGGGAGAAAGGGGGGGGGCUGUGGCGUGGGGGCUGAGGAGGGGCUAAGGCGGGAGGGGCUCCUCAUCCCCUCACCCUCCCUUUUCGCCUUGUGGGGGCCCUGAGCGCCGCCCCAGAAGGGAUCGCGGGAAUGUUGUGGGCUGGGGCACAACGGCGGGGCAGAAACUGGAGGAAGCGAGAGACGUCGCCAGGGACCCAGGGACCUCUCCCUCCAGUUUCCCCGCCCGCCCGGGCCCGCUCGCCACUCCCGCUAUCGCGCCCACCCUGUCCCGGGCCGUCCCGCGCCAGCAGCGUAGCCCCAGCCCGGGCGCCCGAACGCUCUCCCUCCGCAUCACUGCUCGGGUCCCCACUUUGGCGACCGUGCCCCCGAGUCCCGCUUUCCCCGGGCCUGAUCUGGAUCGGGCGCCUGCGCCUUCAAGGGUACCCGGCUCCCUUGCCCUCCUCAAGGGCCGAGUUUGCGCCCUUCCCGGAAUCGUUUGCGAGAAGGACAAACUUUUGAGCGGAUAGAAAUCUAGUCUAGAGGAGCUGGUUGGCAGCAGACAAUUCUUCUGCACUCCCAGCCAUCUGCAAGCCACCGUCAGCCUGUCCCUGCUCCUGAAAAUGGAAUUGCUGAUGCCCUCAAGGCUGUUACUCUCCCAGGAACACCACCGAUUAGCCAGACCCACCACCAUCCACAUCUGCUCCGCAAAGAAGGAAGGCAGCUUGUUCCAGAGGUUGGUGAGCGGCUGCAGCCUGCCUGCCUAGAACAGCCUCCUUACUCCAGCCUGGCAGGGAAGGAAUGAACCUGACUCGCUUCGCAGGAUACGGAAUCUCAGCAGGCAGAGCUGAGAGCCACAGCUGCAUCCCAGAGCCUGAUGGCUAGAAGCAGCUUCUGUCUUCGGGUUCUCCCUGCUGCCUCGGCCUCUGCACUGUUCAGUUUGCUGUUGUGUUUUUCUCCCUCGUGUUGGGGUGGUGGGGUACAGGGAAAUGAGAUGUUUUCUCCCAAGCCCCUGAUGCUUCCCCAUGCCUCCACCAGCCUCAGAGCUGCUGACAGUAAUGAACUGCAGCUUCCAGCCCUUCCCAUAAGCUACUCACAGCAAAUUCAAAUUCUCUUCUGGGCAGAAGGAAGGGCAGAUGCUCCCUUCCUUCUCAAGCCUCCCUGGCUCAUUGAUCCAUUUUGAGGGCAUUUGAGGGUCAAAAUUGAGACCAGAUUGCUUCGGUUGAUAUAAAAUUAGCAUUUCUUAUCACACCAAAGGCCACACCUGUUCUCUGGCCUCACAAACCAGUGAGGAUGUGAAGGUUUGUUGAGGUGGAGGAAUAGAAGCGAAAUGAACAAUCGGCUCCAUUUAGAAGUCAGUCGCUUCAGCAGCUCAUUCCACUAAUAUUUAUCUAGUACCUACUCUGUGCCAAGCAUUGUCUCUACCUCAGUUUGCCCCAGCUAUAAAAAAAAAAAAAAAUCCUUGCCACUAUGAGGCUUCACUGUGUUGUGGACCAAUAUACAAAUAAACUAAUGGAAAAGAAA